CGCCAAGUGGAAGUGGCAGACGGUUGAGUAACGCGCUGGGAAUCUACCUAGAGGUUCGGAAUAACUAUUGGAAACGAUAGCUAAUACCGGAUAAGCCCUUCGGGGGAAAGAUUUAUUGCCUUUAGAUGAGCCCGCGUCGGAUUAGCUUGUUGGUAAGGUAACGGCUUACCAAAGCAACGAUCCGUAGCUGAUCUGAGAGGAUGAUCAGCCAGAUUGGGACUGAGACACGGCCCAGACUCCUACGGGAGGCAGCAGUAGGGAAUAUUGCGCAAUGGGGGAAACCCUGACGCAGCGAUGCCGCGUGAGUGAAGAAGGCCUUAGGGUUGUAAAACUCUUUCAGUGGUGAAGAUAAUGACGGUAACCACAGAAGAAGCUCCGGCUAACUCCGUGCCAGCAGCCGCGGUAAUACGGAGGGGGCUAACGUUGUUCGGAAUUACUGGGCGUAAAGCGCGCGUAGGCGGAUUAGACAGUUGGGGGUGAAAUCCCGGAGCUUAACUUCGGAACUGCCUUCAAUACUACUAAUCUAGAGUUCGGAAGAGGUGAGUGGAAUUCCUAGUGUAGAGGUGAAAUUCGUAGAUAUUAGGAAGAACAUCAGAGGCGAAGGCGGCUCACUGGUCCGAUACUGACGCUGAGGUGCGAAAGCGUGGGGG
rnacentral:rRNA from 1 species